GUCGUAGGGUAACAGCUGCUCUGCACUUCCUUGUCUUCCACCCGCCCCCUGCAUACCGACGCGGACCCGUGAAUACGACUAAAUUCUCUCCCUAUACAGCGCCCUGCUCGUUCGCUCAAAUGGAUUGGGUGCAAGGAGGCGAUUCAAUGGCGCCGGCGCUUGCCGCCCCGGGAACCUCUCCGGCGGACGGCUGUAGGCCAUGGAGUUCCCUAAUUGCAAAAACCCGCCUGCCGUAUGUGGAGAUCUUGAAGGACCGUCUUGCCAUGUUUCAGUUCCGAUGACAACCUUCUAUUGGGUUGAAGCUCUAAGAUGGCACAAGAGAACUACUGGAGUACGAAGUGAUGGUUGAUCAUGGAGUUAUGAGGACCAGGAUUCAUGGGGAUGGCUGGCGUGAGGCAGACGCCACUUCGUUGCUUUGAAUGGCCUAUCCCUCAUGAAGCGCGAGCUCGUCGACCAUUGCGUGUACACCAAGGGUAUACGUCAGUUUGAAUAUUCAGAGAUGAAAAAGAUGAUUAGAUGUGCAUUCGGGGCUUUGGAAGACGUAUGAUGCAUCUUUGUGCACAAGAUGAAUGGAGUUGACAUUAAAGAUGGCUACAUGAGGAUCCCAAAGAAUGAUCUCAUUGAGAGCAAUGCGGCCGUCUUGGACGAUUCAGGGAUCAUUCUUGUGCAUGAUGCUGCAGGAGCCCAUGUAACGGCAUCGUUCAAGAAAUCAAAAGAUGGCAGGCUUGUAAUUGAAGGAGGUUUUCGGAAGUAUGUCAUACACAUCCAAAUGAAGGAAGAUGAUCUUGUGGUCGUCACGUUCCACGAACGCGCUGGGACUGCGUCCAUGACUGUCCGAGUGUGCAUCAUAUCUUAAAACACCUAUGUGGUGUCUAGUGUAUGGUUGGGGCACAGACUAUGAAUCGUUCUGUGCUAUAUUGCGUGAUCGUGCAUCUGCGCAAUGCUUGCUCUUUUGUUAAACCCAUGAAUCUGUAACUUGUAGCCCCUUAUGCGUGGUAUGUGACUAUGUGACGUUUGCA